rnacentral:rRNA from 1 species
UACAGAGGUCCCGAGCGUUGUUCGGAUUCAUUGGGCGUAAAGCGUGCGCAGGCGGCUUUGCAAGACAGAUGUGAAAUCCCCGGGCUUAACCUGGGAACUGCAUUUGUGACUGCAUGGCUGGAGUGCGGCAGAGGGGGAUGGAAUUCCGCGUGUAGCAGUGAAAUGCGUAGAUAUGCGGAGGAACACCGAUGGCGAAGGCAAUCCCCUGGGCCUGCACUGACGCUCAUGCACGAAAGCGUGGGGAGCAAACAGG